rnacentral:rRNA from 1 species
GAUCCUGGCUCAGGACGAACGCUGGCGGCGCGCCUAACACAUGCAAGUCGAACGAGCGAGAGGAAGCUUGCUUUCUCGAGCGAGUGGCGAACGGGUGAGUAACGCGUGAGGAACCUGCCUCAAAGAGGGGGACAACAGUUGGAAACGACUGCUAAUACCGCAUAAGCCCACAGGUCGGCAUCGACCAGAGGGAAAAGGAGCAAUCCGCUUUGAGAUGGCCUCGCGUCCGAUUAGCUAGUUGG